UUCCUGGUGGUCUGGUGGUUAGGAUUCAGCACUUUCACUACCGUGGCCCAGGUUCAAUCCCUGGUCGGGAAA